UUUCAUGAAACUUUCAUCAGAGACGGAGAUGUCGAUGGCUGUCCUCGCUGUUGUCUCAGUAUUUUGUCUCUGUGUCACUUCAGUAGCUGGUCAAUAUUCCACUCCCUCCAUCCGGCUCAUCUCCUUAUAUUCAACUGUCUCGCCUGGAGAAACUGUUCGUAUCAGUUGUGGCAUUUAUAACUGUCAACACAGGGAUGCCUGUUUAUACAGAAAUGGUGCUUCCAUCAUGAGACAGUUCUGUUACUACCGGUUACAGAGCAGUGUGACCUUCACUCA